AACGAACGCUGGCGGCAUGCCUAACACAUGCAAGUCGAACGAAGGCUUCGGCCUUAGUGGCGCACGGGUGAGUAACGCGUGGGAAACUGCCUAUUGGUGGGGAAUAACGACGGGAAACUGUCGCUAAUACCGCAUAAGCCCUUCGGGGGAAAGAUUUAUCGCCGAUAGAUGUGCCCGCGUCCGAUUAGCAAGUUGGUGAGGUAAUGGCUCACCAAGGCGACGAUCGGUAGCUGGUCUGAGAGGAUGAUCAGCCACACUGGGACUGAGACACGGCCCAGACUCCUACGGGAGGCAGCAGUGGGGAAUAUUGGACAAUGGGCGAAAGCCUGAUCCAGCAAUGCCGCGUGAGUGAUGGAGGCCUUAGGGUUGUAAAGCUCUUUCGGGUGGGACGAUGAUGACGGUACCACCAGAAGAAGCCCCGGCUAACUUCGUGCCAGCAGCCGCAGUAA
rnacentral:rRNA from 1 species